rnacentral:rRNA from 1 species
UACGUAGGCAGCAAGCGUUGUUCGGAGUUACUGGGCGUAAAGGGUGUGUAGGCGGUUCCUUAAGUUUGCUGUGAAAUCUCCCGGCUUAACCGGGAGGGUGCGGUGAAUACUGAGGGACUAGAGUACGGGAGAGGAAAGUGGAAUUCCUGGUGUAGCAGUGAAAUGCGUAGAUAUCAGGAGGAACACCGAUGGCGAAGGCAGGUCUCUGGGCUGACACUGACGCUCAUGCACGAAAGCGUGGGGAGCAAACAGG